rnacentral:rRNA from 1 species
CCUACGGGUGGCAGCAGUGGGGAAUAUUGGGCAAUGGAGGAAACUCUUACCCAGCAAUGCCGCGUGAAUGAAGAAGGUCUUCGGAUUGUAAAGUUCUUUAAUUGGGGACGAAAAAAAUGACGGUACCCAAGGAAUAAGCCCCGGCUAACUACGUGCCAGCAGCCGCGGUAAUACGUAGGGGGCAAGCGUUGUUCGGAAUGACUGGGCGUAAAGGGUGCGUAGGCGGUGUAGCAAGUUAGAAGUGAAAUACCUAGAGCUUAACUCAGGUGCUGCUUCUAAAACUGCUAUACUUGAGUGCAGUAGAGGAAAGUGGAAUUCCUAGUGUAGCGGUGGAAUGCGUAGAUAUUAGGAGGAACAUCAGUGGCGAAGGCGACUUUCUGGACUGUAACUGACGCUGAGGCACGAAAGUGUGGGGAGCAAACAGGAUUAGAUACCCUUGUAGUCUA